rnacentral:lncRNA from 1 species
UGUCUAUGAUGAUUCUAUAUCUCUGAAAUCAUGAUUAAAAGGGAAUCACAAAAUUGAGAUAAUUUUUAAAAUGGUAUUCUUUGGUUAAUUGAGAUAUAUGAAAAAUGCAUGCAUGUGUAGUGGAUAUGGAUUUCGUAACCUUGGUACAGAAUAUGAGCAUGUUAGGAUGAGUUUUGAUUCAUAAAAGCCCCUGUGAGAUAUUUGAGCCAUGUCCCUUUUUCUUGGAGUGAUAAUUGAAAAAUAUAUUCUUAAUUUCUUGGCGAUAUUAAGUUUGAUGGACUAGAAAAUGCUAGAAUUCGCUCUUGUGCUUGUUGAGACGUUUGUCAAUAUAUGGCCCUGAUUCUGGAAGGGAUAGAGGCAACCUAGGAAUUACCACCAUUGCUAAAUAAGCAUGUGUCCCUAUUUGUGCCCGUCGUGGGACUCCCUUAGAUAA